UGCCCUUCUCUCUUCUCUCUUCUCUCUUCUGUCUUCUCUCAAAUCUUAACCCAACCUUCUCUCUAAAUCAGCAAAUCGGGCAGAAUCGCGUCUACACUGUGAAAGCCAUCUUGUUUAAAUUGGAACCGUGCCCUAGCUUAUCUCUUCUCUCCAAAUCGGAACCGCUUCUCUCCAAAUCGAAGCUAGGUAAACCCUUUCUUCUCUCCAAAUCGAAACCCUUUCUUUUUCUCUUGAAAGAAUGUAUGCUUACUAAUGAAAUAUGAAACUUUUGGGUAAAUUGAGAAAAUGGGUAUGUAGAAAUAGAGAGAAUGGUGAAAGAAAUAUUGUAUAGAGAGAUUUAUUGGGUUUCUUUCUCUCACUGAGCUAAUAGCAGCUAUGGGACUAGUAGCAGUAGCUUUUUCAUUGAAUGUAUGCUUACCAAUGUUCAAAGAAACGAAAAUAUGAGUAAUUGAAAAACUUUGUUCUUGAAUUCUGACAAUGGGAUUUGAACAUUUUUUGUGAUUCCCUUUAGUUUCCUUUUUGUGGAGACAUGCUUAGUAAAAAUUAUUGUUCCAGUUUGUGUUUCUAACUUGUAAGAAAUGUAGGCGGAGAAAUUAUAGAAGUCCAAUGAGUUAUGGAAUAAGAAGCAAGGAUUCAGGUUUCACACAAAUCCUUAAAAAUGGGAAUUUCGAAAAUUCAUAUAACUUUAUAUUCAUAAAUACAUCAAAACUUCAGAAUUAAUAAAUAUUAAUUAAUAAUGAUACAAAUGUAAUAAAUCCAGAAGAAUCUAGAUUCCGGGAUUCGCCGACCUACAAAGAAUUCUUGCUUCUAAGGUUAUUUCUAAGGUUAUGGGUAGUUAUGUAUUUAUAUUUGAGUUGAAGGGUAUAUUUUUACUAUAACUUGUCAUUAUGUGUGUGUAAGAUCAAUUUAGGAUAUCAUAUUUCUGUUCAAGAUACAUUAACUUUCAAUCUUUCAUUAUCAUUAUUAAUUGUGCUAAUGUGGACAAAAUUGGAUUUUGGGAAAAUGUUGGUUGUUCAAAUUUUGUUGGUAACAGGCAACCAUGGUUGAUUCAUAUAUUUUGAUAUCUAUUCCUGCAGUAUAUAGAGAAUGUAACACUAUGUCAAAGUACACCAUAAAGUAAAAAGUGAAGACUGAUGAAAUUGAAGAAUGAAAGACUGAACAAAAAAGUGGUGUACUCGGUUUUUCUUUUUUCUUUCAUGUUGUGGUUUUUGUUGUUUGUAAUGUAGUUGUAGUUGUGUUGUAAUGAAAUUGUUUAAUGUAAUAAAGUUACAAGUUGUAAUUGCUUUGUAAUGAAACUAUUGUAAUGAAAGAAGUUGUUUGUAAUCUAACGAAGAUAAAAGGAAAGGCAAAUAACGUUUGUAAUUCAACUUUACUUGUCCAAGGAAGAUAAAAGGAAAGAAACUUUCUUAUAUAGUAUGUAAUUCAACUUUACUUGUCCAAACGUUAUUUGCCUUGUCUUUAUAGAUUUCAAUUCAUCUUUAAACCCUAAACCCUAACUAAACGCACUCCCCUUCUCUUUCUAUCUUUUUGAAG
rnacentral:lncRNA from 1 species